rnacentral:rRNA from 1 species
GACGAACGCUGGCGGCGUGCCUAAUACAUGCAAGUCGAACGCUGAAGGAGGGGUUUGCUCUUCUGGAUGAGUUGCGAACGGGUGAGUAACGCGUAGGUAACCUGCCUGGUAGCGGGGGAUAACUAUUGGAAACGAUAGCUAAUACCGCAUAACAGUUGAUGUUGCAUGACAUUUACUUAAAAGGUUCCAUUGCAUUACUACCAGAUGGACCUGCGUUGUAUUAGCUAGUUGGUGGGGUAACGGCUCACCAAGGCGACGAUGCAGAGCCGACCUGCGAGGGUGGUCAGCCACCCUGGGACGGUGACCCGGCCCAGUACCCUACGGGAGGGAACAAGAGGGAAACUUGGGCCAUGGACGGAAGUCUUACCGAACAACGCCGGGGGAGUGAAGAAAGUUUUCGGGUCGGAAAGCUCGGUUGUGAGGGAAGAACGAGUAUUAGAGUGGAACGUUCACACUGUGACGGUAUCUUACCAAAAAGCGACGGCUAACUACGUG